AAAGGCAAUGCCAAGGAAACGCAUCAACAAGAAUGACCAAAAGAAAGGCAGUCUGAGCACAUGGUGUGAACCUCCCUCCACUGUACUUGGAGCUAAACUGUGUAUUUGUAAAGCUCCACACUUUGUGCUUUGAAAGAAAAAAAUCCCUUCUUGAGAUGGGAGAAGGAUGGAAGAAAGAGGGGGAGGGAGAGAGUUUGUCUAAAGACUUGGAAGAGAAGAGGAAGCACUCAGGAACUGGAAGCGGGAGAUAGGAGAAGUGACUGCAUGGAGGCGAUAAAACAGGAUUUAUUGGAGAGUAUAUAAACAUGAAGCCAAACUGGAUAGAUCUGAUCACUUCAACUGGAGGAAAAAUCAAAUCGAUAUUGAACAAAGGAACUACAAAAAAAGAGUCAGGUUUCCGAAACAUCAAAUCCUGUCUCUUGUAGACUCCCUGACGUUUUUCCCAUCUCAACAGGAUGCCCCCCCCCUUUAUCAAAUCAGUCACAGAUCUCACCUCUCCUCCAGCCCCGUCCCCUCUCUGUGGAGGGCUGGGUCAGUGGCAGUUUCCACUUUCCUGGCUGGUAAUUAUACUUCAGAAGAGCUGCUUGUGUUCAGAGGGGCCUCAGAGACAGAGAUGCAGAAACUUUGAAGAAGCUCAUUGGAGGGCAGUCGAGAGAGGGGGCUGAGCAGAAAUCAAUGAGAGAGAUAGGAGCGGAAUCUCCCACACUGCCCAGGCGGGCAGAAGGAGACGGACUAAACCAACUGUCCUCUCUGCUCCAGUCGAUUAAGAACGGAGACCGGUGGAAGGCAAUAUCUUCAAAACCUUACCCCUGCUUUACCAACCUUUAUAGGAAAAUUACCAGGUGUAAUAGUCUUCAUAAACAAUAAUUCUUACG